GUGACCGCAAAACCCAGGCCCUUCUGAGGUGCAUUCUGUUUAGCUCUGAUGUAUCUUGUGUAGCCCCACUUGCAUACCAUCAUUACCUAUCAGAAGAAAGCAGUGUCACUCGGGUACCCUCACCCUGCGCUGUCUCUUACUCUGUCAUGCCAACACUCUCAACAUGAUAAAUGUCAAUAGGAGGAAAUAUCUGCUUGUCAUUUUGAGCUACAAGAAGAGCAGAGUACGGUUGGCCUCCUUCUCAUAUACUGACAACCUUUGGGUAACCCGUGAACUCCUUUAUAGGCCUCAGUUUACCCACCUUGCAGAUAGGAGCUGUACUGCCUUUGAUAAUUCAUUCAGCAGACCGGGUUGUCUAAAUAGUAGUCAUCCAAGCUCAGUUUGAGAAGAACCGGCUUAGUUUGUAAUCUCAGUCAUGCUGGCCAAAGUCCCAGGGGUAUCUAAGAAUAUUCUAGAAGAAUAUUUAAGAAUGAGUUGGCAAAGACAGAGAAGUGGCCCCCUGACAAAACACCCGAACUCACAGCCCCUACACUUGUCCAGUUGUUCUAGGUCAGGACGGUGGAAUCCUUACAAACACGCCUCAGAACAGAUGUCCCCUGUCGCCACAGUUUCCACGUCAGUGCCUUCAUUAGUUACUUUUCUCAUUAUUGUGGCCAGGAACCUAACAGAGAGAGGGGCAGGGUUUAUUUGAGCUCAUCGUUUGAGGUUUUGGUAAGGGCAGCAUGGCAGCUGUGCUUUCAGCGAUAGAGCAGAGAAAGAGGAACGCCGGUCCUUAGCUCACACAGCUCCCCACUUGGCUCAGCAGCCAGCUAGCUUCCCCUCGGCCCACACUUCUCUGAGGGUACCCCGCUCACUCACCCAGUCUGUGAAGGCUUGAGUUCGCCUCUGUCUUUCCCAGCACCGAGGCCCAGCAUUGGCUCACAGGGAGUGAAUAGAAUAGAAGUGCUUCAUAGACCCUCUCAAGCAUGGCGUGCAAGAGGCAGCACUCCCAGAGCCCUGGCCUUGACAGCUUUCUCUUCUCUUCCAGAGCCAAUACAAGUUUGUGUGUGAAGCGAUCCUUCGAGUGUACGAAGAAGGCUUAGUCCAGAGGCUGGAUCCCAGUUAGGACAACUGUGAAGUGGUCGUUCCUCCUUCCCUAGGGCGACUUCCUGAAGAAGGGGGCACACAUUCCCCUGGAGGCCCCCCCAGAGAUGCUGGUCACUGUGGGAAAGGGAUGAGCUUAUCUGAACCCAGGCACUUUAAAUUUCUGUGGAAAAGAUACCCUGUACAUAAGGACUGAUGGUGUAGAUAUGCAUGCAGCUAUGACUCCUUUGGCCCAGAGAGAAGCAACAGGGGAUCUCCAGUUGGGAACUGUGUUUCUCCCUACAUAUCACCGUCCCCUGUCAUCCAUCCUUGAGCAAUGAGAGGGGACACCAGCAGUGUCCUCCCGCCAGAAGCCAGACAAUGUGGCUACUUGUGGUUGCUCAGGUGUUUUGUGUGUUGUUCUGUGUGGGAUUCCAAGGGCUGAACUUCCUUGGCAAUUCCUGUCCAUUACCCCUGACACCAAGGGAAACUCGGAUGAAUGUACCACAGGCAGGGCACAAGGGACUUCAGGCUGGAGGAUGAACAGGAUCUAUUCUGCCCGCCCUCCCUCCCUCCCUCCCUCCCUCCGCCUCAUCUCUACCCCUUCUGCAAUCCAAAGCACCCCAUUUCCCCCACCCCAAAUUCCUUUUCUUCAGGAUCACGCCCAGUGCCUGAACCAGCUUCAUGAUGUAUGUUCAGGUGAAUUCUCUGCCGAGACUGGGAACUAGGCUCUGCAUAAGGCUGAGUCUCAGCUUCGGAAGCAGGCGAGCCUCUGCUCACUCCUUGUAUACUCGGACGCCAUGACUGGAUUCGCCGACUACUGAAUCUCUGGAUUGCUGCUACUUCAAGCUCUCACACUUGAAACAAGACAAUUUUCUUGGGGGGUGGGGGAUGAUAGCAUCCAAAUAUUCAGAAUUUUGGACCCUUCUUAGAAAUGACCUUCUAGUAAGUGACCAUGAGAAACACUGCUUCUCAAUCAAGGGUGGUGUGUGUGUGUGUGUCCGUCUGUCAUUGUGUCUCUGUGUGUAUGUGUGUGUCUGUGGGUGGCUGACUUUCUCAGGAUUCCUAACUUGAUUCAAAUUACUGUUGAGUUUAUGUAAAGAAUUCAUCUCUGUACAGAAGAACAAGUGUGUUGUUCAUUCACCCUAGGUUACAAUGGUCUCCAUUUCAUUUCAGAGGAGAGAAUCAGACUAACUGAAUAUAAACACAAUUUGAUGUUAAUUUAUUCUAAGUACUCUGGGAUUUUGAUUGUCCUAAAGAAUUCUGCUCUGUGAAUACCAUGUUAUUUUUUUUUUUUAAUUUGUGGCAGGAUUGUAGCGAAUUACUAUUUAAGGAAAAUAAAUUACAUGAAUGCUC
rnacentral:lncRNA from 1 species